UAACCGCUCCAGCACUCGGAGCAUAUUGAGUGUCAGCAGUGGGAUGGAAGGGGACAGUGAGGACAAUGAAGUUGCAGAAACAACUAGAAGCCGCAGCCCAGUUACCCACCAAACAGAGAGGCUGCCUUUUCCAGAAAGGCCUCCCAGAGUGCCUCCUCGAGGUGCAAGCAGGCCUGUAAGCAGUGAAGGCUUUUAUCCUCCACCUGUGCCCCCAAGAGGUCGCUGAGUCUCUCAACAUCUGUAGAAUAUGAGAUUUUUCUGGUUUUAUGUGUGUUUGUACAGAGAUUGUUGGGUUGUCUUUAAAUUAUUUAUAACUGGGAGCCAAAUGUUUUCUUCCUCUUCCUCCCCCCUAAAGCUCUGAUGACUUUUCACUGAGAUUUCUAGGUCUUCUAUAACAUUUUUUUUUAAUUGAAAUAAUUUUGGUGCUUUGGGACUUCAAGAAAAAGUAUCGUGGUUGGGAAGGAGAACACUGAUGUGUGUCUUGGCAGCCCUACACCAACACAGAUUUUCCUUUUGACCAAGAAAGCACGUGUCCUCUUAGAAACUAAAUCCUGAUAAGCAUUGCUACCAAAGCCCUUGAAACAUGCUUGAAAAAGUAAAGAAAAUUAGUUGUUCAAA
rnacentral:lncRNA from 1 species